UACGGAGGGGGCUAGCGUUGUUCGGAAUUACUGGGCGUAAAGCGCACGUAGGCGGCUUUGUAAGUUAGAGGUGAAAGCCCAGGGCUUAACCCUGGAAUUGCCUUUAAGACUGCAUCGCUAGAAUCGUGGAGAGGUGAGUGGAAUUCCGAGUGUAGAGGUGAAAUUCGUAGAUAUUCGGAAGAACACCAGUGGCGAAGGCGGCGAUCUGGGAAGAUACUGACGCUGAGGUGCGAAAGCGCGGGGAGCAAACAGG
rnacentral:rRNA from 1 species